rnacentral:snRNA from 1 species
GCCCUUCGGGGACAUCCGAUAAAAUUGGAACGAUACAAAGAAGAUUAGCAUGACCCCUGCGCUAAGAUGACACGCACAAAUCGAGAAAUGGUCCAAAUUUUG